rnacentral:snRNA from 1 species
UAUGUUUCUCGGACUUUUGUCAAAGAUAAAGUGUAAUAUUUGUUCUUAGCAGUUUAAUAUCUACUGUGUGGACUACAUAUUCACUUUAAUAUUAAAUUUAUUUUUAUUAUAAGUAUUUUUGUAGGGAGGGUCCUUUAUAAUACUGGGCCCAUCACAACGCAUAAA